rnacentral:rRNA from 1 species
GACGAACGCUGGCGGCGUGCUUAACAUAUGCAAGUCGAACGGUGAACGAGGGAGCUUGCUCCCUCCGGAUCAGUGGCGAACGGGUGAGUAACACGUGAGCAAUCUGCCCCGAACUCUGGGAUAAGCGUUGGAAACGACGUCUAAUACCGGAUACGACGCGGGAGGGCAUCCUCUCCGCGUGGAAAGAACUUCGGUUCGGGAUGAGCUCGCGGCCUAUCAGCUUGUUGGUGAGGUAACGGCUCACCAAGGCGACGACGGGUAGCCGGCCUGAGAGGGUGACCGGCCACACUGGGACUGAGACACGGCCCAGACUCCUACGGGAGGCAGCAGUGGGGAAUAUUGCACAAUGGGCGCAAGCCUGAUGCAGCAACGCCGCGUGAGGGACGACGGCCUUCGGGUUGUAAACCUCUUUUAGCAGGGAAGAAGCGAAAGUGACGGUACCCGCAGAAAAAGCACCGGCUAACUACGUG